rnacentral:rRNA from 1 species
GAGUUUGAUCCUGGCUCAGGACGAACGCUGGCGGCGUGCUUAACACAUGCAAGUCGAACGGAAAGGCCCCGCUUGCGGGGUACUCGAGUGGCGAACGGGUGAGUAACACGUGGGUGAUCUACCCUGCACUUCGGGAUAAGCCUGGGAAACUGGGUCUAAUACCGGAUAGGACCCCUCUUUAGUGUGGGGGGUGGAAAGUUUUUUCGGUGUGGGAUGAGCCCGCGGCCUAUCAGCUUGUUGGUGGGGUAAUGGCCUACCAAGGCGUCGACGGGUAGCCGGCCUGAGAGGGUGGACGGCCACAUUGGGACUGAGAUACGGCCCAGACUCCUACGGGAGGCAGCAGUGGGGAAUAUUGCACAAUGGGCGGAAGCCUGAUGCAGCGACGCCGCGUGGGGGAUGACGGCCUUCGGGUUGUAAACCUCUUUCGCUAGGGACGAAGCUUUUGUGACGGUACCUAGAUAAGAAGCACCGGCUAACUACGUGCCAGCAGCCGCGGUAAUACGUAGGGUGCGAGCGUUGUCCGGAAUUACUGGGCGUAAAGAGCUCGUAGGUGGUUUGUCGCGUCGUCUGUGAAAUUCCGGGGCUUAACUUCGGGCGUGCAGGCGAUACGGGCAAUACUUGAGUGCUGUAGGGGAGACUGGAAUUCCUGGUGUAGCGGUGGAAUGCGCAGAUAUCAGGAGGAACACCGAUGGCGAAGGCAGGUCUCUGGGCAGUAACUGACGCUGAGGAGCGAAAGCAUGGGUAGCGAACAGGAUUAGAUACCCUGGUAGUCCAUGCCGUAAACGGUGGGCGCUAGGUGUAGGGGUCUUCCACGACUUCUGUGCCGUAGCUAACGCAUUAAGCGCCCCGCCUGGGGAGUACGGCCGCAAGGCUAAAACUCAAAGGAAUUGACGGGGGCCCGCACAAGCGGCGGAGCAUGUGGAUUAAUUCGAUGCAACGCGAAGAACCUUACCUGGGCUUGACAUACACCGGACCGGGCCAGAGAUGGUCUUUCCCUUGUGGCUGGUGUACAGGUGGUGCAUGGUUGUCGUCAGCUCGUGUCGUGAGAUGUUGGGUUAAGUCCCGCAACGAGCGCAACCCUUGUCUUAUGUUGCCAGCACGUAGUGGUGGGGACUCAUGAGAGACUGCCGGGGUCAACUCGGAGGAAGGUGGGGAUGACGUCAAAUCAUCAUGCCCCUUAUGUCCAGGGCUUCACACAUGCUACAAUGGUCGGUACAACGCGUUGCGACACUGUGAGGUGGAGCUAAUCGCUGAAAGCCGGCCUCAGUUCGGAUUGGGGUCUGCAACUCGACCCCAUGAAGUCGGAGUCGCUAGUAAUCGCAGAUCAGCAACGCUGCGGUGAUACGUUCCCGGGCCUGUACACACCGCCCGUC